rnacentral:rRNA from 1 species
CAGUAGCCGCGGUAAUACGGAGGGAGCUAGCGUUAUUCGGAAUUACUGGGCGUAAAGCGCACGUAGGCGGCUUUGUAAGUAAGAGGUGAAAGCCCGGAGCUCAACUCCGGAACUGCCUUUUAGACUGCAUCGCUUGAAUCCAGGAGAGGUGAGUGGAAUUCCGAGUGUAGAGGUGAAAUUCGUAGAUAUUCGGAAGAACACCAGUGGCGAAGGCGGCUCACUGGACUGGUAUUGACGCUGAGGUGCGAAAGCGUGGGGAGCAAACAGGAUUAGAUACCCGAGUAGUCCCUGUCUCUUAUAC